CUCGUAGGCGGUUUGGUAAGUCAGGUGUGAAAUCUCCACGCUCAACGUGGAGGGGCCACCCGAAACUGCCAUGACUUGAGUCCGGUAGGGGAGUGUGGAAUUCCCGGUGUAGCGGUGAAAUGCGCAGAUAUCGGGAGGAACACCCGUAGCGAAGGCGGCACUCUGGGCCGGUACUGACGCUGAGGAGCGAAAGCGUGGGGAGCAAACA
rnacentral:rRNA from 1 species